UCGGGUAAUUCAACUACAGCGCGUCCUACUUUUGUAGGAGUGAGGAAAGUCCGGACUUCAUAGAGCAAGAUGCUGGUUAACGGCCAGGCGGGGAAACUCGACGGAAAGUGCAACAGAGAAUACACAGCCGAAGCCGCAAGGCUGGCAAUGGUGAAAACGUGAGGUAAGAGCUCACGGACAUGGCUGGUGACAGUCGGUUUGGCAAACCCCAUCUGAAGCAAAGCCAAAUAGGGGUGGAGAGUUGGCUCGGCUCACUGACACUCGGGUUGGCUGCAAAGAAUGCUACGGUAACGUAACAUCAAGAGAAAUUGUAGUUUUAAACAGAAUCCGGCUUAUGGGUUACCCGAAUUU
rnacentral:RNase_P_RNA from 1 species